rnacentral:rRNA from 1 species
UUGAACGCUGGCGGCAGGCCUAACACAUGCAAGUCGAACGGUAACAGGAAGCAGCUUGCUGCUUUGCUGACGAGUGGCGGACGGGUGAGUAAUGUCUGGGAAACUGCCCGAUGGAGGGGGAUAACUACUGGAAACGGUAGCUAAUACCGCAUAACGUCGCAAGACCAAAGAGGGGGACCUUAGGGCCUCUUGCCAUCGGAUGUGCCCAGAUGGGAUUAGCUAGUAGGUGGGGUAAAGGCUCACCUAGGCGACGAUCCCUAGCUGGUCUGAGAGGAUGACCAGCCACACUGGAACUGAGACACGGUCCAGACUCCUACGGGAGGCAGCAGUGGGGAAUAUUGCACAAUGGGCGCAAGCCUGAUGCAGCCAUGCCGCGUGUAUGAAGAAGGCCUUCGGGUUGUAAAGUACUUUCAGCGGGGAGGAAGGGAGUAAAGUUAAUACCUUUGCUCAUUGACGUUACCCGCAGAAGAAGCACCGGCUAACUCCGUGCCAGCAGCCGCGGUAAUACGGAGGGUGCAAGCGUUAAUCGGAAUUACUGGGCGUAAAGCGCACGCAGGCGGUUUGUUAAGUCAGAUGUGAAAUCCCCGGGCUCAACCUGGGAACUGCAUCUGAUACUGGCAAGCUUGAGUCUCGUAGAGGGGGGUAGAAUUCCAGGUGUAGCGGUGAAAUGCGUAGAGAUCGGGAGGAACACCAGUGGCGAAGGCGGCUUACUGGACUGUAACUGACGCUGAGGCGCGAAAGUGUGGGGAGCAAACAGGAUUAGAUACCCUGGUAGUCCACGCCGUAAACGAUGUCGACUUGGAGGUUGUGCCCUUGAGGCGUGGCUUCCGGAGCUAACGCGUUAAGUCGACCGCCUGGGGAGUACGGCCGCAAGGUUAAAACUCAAAUGAAUUGACGGGGGCCCGCACAAGCGGUGGAGCAUGUGGUUUAAUUCGAUGCAACGCGAAGAACCUUACCUGGUCUUGACAUCCACGGAAGUUUUCAGAGAUGAGAAUGUGCCUUCGGGAACCGUGAGACAGGUGCUGCAUGGCUGUCGUCAGCUCGUGUUGUGAAAUGUUGGGUUAAGUCCCGCAACGAGCGCAACCCUUAUCCUUUGUUGCCAGCGGUCCGGCCGGGAACUCAAAGGAGACUGCCAGUGAUAAACUGGAGGAAGGUGGGGAUGACGUCAAGUCAUCAUGGCCCUUACGACCAGGGCUACACACGUGCUACAAUGGCGCAUACAAAGAGAAGCGACCUCGCGAGAGCAAGCGGACCUCAUAAAGUGCGUCGUAGUCCGGAUUGGAGUCUGCAACUCGACUCCAUGAAGUCGGAAUCGCUAGUAAUCGUGGAUCAGAAUGCCACGGUGAAUACGUUCCCGGGCCUUGUACACACCGCCCGUCACACCAUGGGAGUGGGUUGCAAAAGAAGUAGGUAGCUUAACCUUCGGGAGGGCGCUUACCACUUUGUGAUUCAUGACUGGGGUG